UACGGGGGGAGCAAGCGUUGUUCGGAUUUACUGGGCGUAAAGGGCGCGUAGGCGGUCAGCACAAGUCAGUUGUGAAAUCUCCGGGCUUAACUCGGAAAGGUCAACUGAUACUGUGCGACUAGAGUGCAGAAGGGGCAACUGGAAUUCUCGGUGUAGCGGUGAAAUGCGUAGAUAUCGAGAGGAACACCUGCGGCGAAGGCGGGUUGCUGGGCUGACACUGACGCUGAUGCGCGAAAGCCCGGGGAGCGAACGGG
rnacentral:rRNA from 1 species